GAUGAAGAACGCAGCGAAAUGCGAUAAGUAGUGUGAAUUGCAGAAUUCCGUGAAUCACCGAAUCUUUGAACGCACAUUGCGCCUUCUGGUAUUCCGGAAGGCAUGCCUGUUCGAGAGUCAUUAACAACCGUUUCGAUCCCUUUCUUUCAGAAAUUACAAAGAGGAAAAGGGUUUGGUUAUGGUGGAGGAGGGAAAGGGAGCGUUUAGCCUGUAAAAAAAGAGGCUGUGUUCCGCCUCCCCCCCAAAAUUGUACAGGCGGUCGUGUGCGCCCACGCAUCGAGGUGUUGUAAAAGCUGCCACGGCACUUUUCACCUGUGCAGUGCGAGAUUGGCCAGCCGGUUUAAAAACCCCUCCAAACAAUCAAAGGUUGACCUCGGAUCAGGUAGGGAUACCCGCUGAACUUAAGCAUAUCAAUAAGCGGAGGA
rnacentral:misc_RNA from 1 species